rnacentral:pre_miRNA from 1 species
GAAAGAGAGAGAGAGAGAGAGAGAGAGAGAGAGAGAGAGAGAGAGAGAGAAUGCACAUAAUAAAGAAAAGUUCAUACCUAUGUUAUUGCUCUCUCUCUCUCUCUCUCUCUCUCUCUCUCUCUCUUUCUCUCUCUCUCU